GCCGAAGUGGCGGAACUAGGCAGACGCGCACGAUUCAAAAUCGUGUACCCGCAAGGGUGUGUGGGUUCGAUUCCCACCUUCGGCACCA
rnacentral:tRNA from 1 species